UUUGGUGAUUAUAGCAAAGGUGCUACACUUGAUCCCAUCCCGAACUCAGCAGUGAAACCCUUUUGCGCCGAUGGUACUACAUCUUAAGGUGUGGAAGAGAAGGUCGUUGCCAAAC
rnacentral:rRNA from 1 species